rnacentral:rRNA from 1 species
UACGGGGGGGGCGAGCGUUGUCCGGACUCACUGGGCGUAAAGGGCGCGUGGGCGGGAUGGUAAGUCGGUGGUGAAAAUCCCCGGGUCAACCGGGGACUUGCCGCCGAAGCUGCCAUUCUUGAGUGCGGGAGAGGGAGGUGGAAUUCCUGGUGUAGCGGUGAAAUUCGUAGAGAUCAGGAAGAAGACCGGUUGCAAAGGCGGCCUCCUGGCCCGUCACUGACGCUGAGGCGCGAAAGCGUGGGGAGCAAACAGG